rnacentral:lncRNA from 1 species
UGGGUCCCGGAGCGAAGUGGCUGACCCACACCUGCCACCAAUUCUCUCUCUGCUGAAUUUGAAUGAAGAGACACAGAGACUAUACAGAGAAGCAGACACCUCGAGCAAGCCGAGAAGCUGGUCUGAAGAGAGACACUCAGGACCAGAGUGGAUUCACCAAGCAGAGCAGAGACUGAGACGUUGUGUGUGUGUUGCUGGGUGGAGGGGGAAGAAGGGGAGAGGUGGGGAGAGAGAGAGGGACAGAGAGAGAGAGAGAAGGAGGA